rnacentral:rRNA from 1 species
CCUACGGGCGGCAGCAGUGAGGAAUAUUGGUCAAUGGGCUUACGCCUGAACCAGCCAAGUCGCGUGAGGGAAGACUGCCCUAUGGGUUGUAAACCUCUUUUGUCAGGGAGCAACGCCGGCUACGUGUAGCCGGACGGAGAGUACCUGAAGAAAAAGCAUCGGCUAACUCCGUGCCAGCAGCCGCGGUAAUAUGGAGGAUCCGAGGGUAAUCCGGUUUUAUUGGGUUAAAAGGGAGCGUAGAUGGGCUGUUAAGUCACGGGUAAAAGCCCGGGGCUCAACCCCGUCGAGCCGUUGAACCUGGCUGUCUUGAGAUGUCGAGAGGUAUGCGGAAUGCGCAGUGUAGCGGUGAAAUGCUUAGAUAUUGCGCAGAACUCCGAUUGCGAAGGCAGCAUACCGGCGGCGAUCUGACGCUGAGGCACGAAAGCGUGGGUAUCGAACAGGAUUAGAUACCCGAGUAGUC